rnacentral:rRNA from 1 species
GAUGAACGCUGGCGGCGUGCUUAACACAUGCAAGUCGAACGGAAAGGCCCAAGCUUGCUUGGGUACUCGAGUGGCGAACGGGUGAGUAACACGUGGGUGAUCUGCCCUGCACUUCGGGAUAAGCCUGGGAAACUGGGUCUAAUACCGGAUAGGACCACUUCUUGGAUGUUGUGGUGGAAAGUUUUUUCGGUGUGGGAUGAGCUCGCGGCCUAUCAGCUUGUUGGUGGGGUAAUGGCCUACCAAGGCGUCGACGGGUAGCCGGCCUGAGAGGGUGUACGGCCACAUUGGGACUGGGAUACGGCCCAGACUCCUACGGGAGGCAGCAGUGGGGAAUAUUGCACAAUGGGCGCAAGCCUGAUGCAGCGACGCCGCGGGGGGGAUGACGGCCUUCGGGUUGUAAACUCCUUUCGCUAGGGACGAAGCGUUUUGUGACGGUACCUGGAGAAGAAGCACCGGCUAACUACGUG